UACGAAGGGGGCGAGCGUUGUUCGGAAUUACUGGGCGUAAAGGGCGCGCAGGCGGCUCUGAAAGUCAGAUGUGAAAGCCCCGGGCUUAACCUGGGAACUGCGUUUGAAACUGGGAGACUUGAGUGUGGCAGAGGGGGGUGGAAUUCCACGUGUAGCAGUGAAAUGCGUAGAUAUGUGGAGGAACACCGAUGGCGAAGGCAGCCCCCUGGGUUAGCACUGACGCUCAUGCACGAAAGCGUGGGGAGCAAACAGG
rnacentral:rRNA from 1 species